AGUGGGAUAGCUGGGUCAAAUGGUGGUAACAUUUCCAGUUUUCCAAGGAAUCUCCAUACUGCUUUCUAUAUUGGCUGCACCAAUUUGCAGCCCCACCAGCAAU
rnacentral:pre_miRNA from 1 species